UACGUAGGGUGCAAGCGUUAAUCGGAAUUACUGGGCGUAAAGCGUGCGCAGGCGGUUAUAUAAGACAGUUGUGAAAUCCCCGGGCUCAACCUGGGAACUGCAUCUGUGACUGUAUAGCUAGAGUACGGUAGAGGGGGAUGGAAUUCCGCGUGUAGCAGUGAAAUGCGUAGAUAUCAGGAGGAACACCUGUGGUGUAGACAGCUUACUGGACCACUUCUGACGCUUGAGACACGAAAGCGUGGGUAGCAAACAGG
rnacentral:rRNA from 1 species